rnacentral:rRNA from 1 species
AUUGAACGCUGGCGGCAGGCUUAACACAUGCAAGUCGAGCGGGGUGAUGGUGCUUGCACUAUCACCUAGCGGCGGACGGGUGAGUAAUGCUUAGGAAUCUGCCUAUUAGUGGGGGACAACAUUUCGAAAGGAAUGCUAAUACCGCAUACGUCCUACGGGAGAAAGCAGGGGAUCUUCGGACCUUGCGCUAACAGAUGAGCCUAAGUCGGAUUAGUUAGUUGGUGGGGUAAAGGCCUACAAAGGCGACGAUCUGUAGCGGGUCUGAGAGGAUGAUCCGCCACACUGGGACUGAGACACGGCCCAGACUCCUACGGGAGGCAGCAGUGGGGAAUAUUGGACAAUGGGCGCAAGCCUGAUCCAGCCAUGCCGCGUGUGUGAAGAAGGCCUUAUGGUUGUAAAGCACUUUAAGCGAGGAGGAGGCUACUUUAGAUAAUACCUAGAGAUAGUGGACGUUACUCGCAGAAUAAGCACCGGCUAACUCUGUGCCAGCCGCCGCCGUAACAC